rnacentral:sRNA from 1 species
AUAUGAACAACGCAAAAUACCAACGUUCCUUCAAAAAGCAUUCCUACGAGGUUACUACUUCCAAGCGGUGAUCCAUGAUGUACGGAAAUCGUCUAUUGGAAUGGAGAUCAAUUCAUCUGUAGUCGAUCUUGGGUGCAGUGUCGGUCUCGCUCUUCGGGAGAUUGUGGCUGGGACUGCAAUGAUUGACCACACAU